rnacentral:rRNA from 1 species
GCCUACGGGAGGCAGCAGUGAGGAAUAUUGGUCAAUGGGCGGGAGCCUGAACCAGCCAAGUCGCGUGAGGGAAGACGGCCCUACGGGUUGUAAACCUCUUUUGUCGGGGAGCAAAGCGAGUCACGUGUGACUCAUUGAGAGUACCCGAAGAAAAAGCAUCGGCUAACUCCGUGCCAGCAGCCGCGGUAAUACGGAGGAUGCGAGCGUUAUCCGGAUUUAUUGGGUUUAAAGGGUGCGCAGGCGGAGGUGCAAGUCAGCGGUCAAAUUGCGGGGCUCAACCCCGUACCGCCGUUGAAACUGCAUCC